GCUAAUAGAGCUCUGCAGCAGUAGUACCUGUGGCACUACUGCCACCAUGUUUACUUCUGAACCGAAGACCUGACCCUGGCCAUAAACAGCUGUUACCAGACCAGACACAAAGUUACAGAACUACUUAGAAGAUUAUACACUCCGACCAGAGAGAGCAGAAGAGGACAGAGACUGAUUUAUAAACCUUUGCUGACGAUCAGGGGAUAAGAUCAACUUCACAUGGAACAGAAGAAGGGGAACAUGGCUGAAAUGAUGAAGGGAACAGUCUGCAACGUGAACAGCAACAACUCCUGGAUGAAUCUCCUUCAGGAGGAAGCAGCUACGAGCACUGAGAUGCCAGAGCUCAAUGGAGAAGAGUUGAGGCAAACAGAAGAAAAAUAAACACUGUUGUGCUCUCAACAAAGUCUCUUUUUAUAUACCUACUCCAUACAUUAUUGUUCAUACUGUAGGUAAUACAGUCCUAAUACAAUCCUCACAAAAAUGUGGAGAGCCUUAGACAGUGAAUAACAUUUUACAUAUUAUAUAUGCAUUUCAUUGACACUUACCUUCAUUGGGAAUUUAUAACGCUUUCCAAAAGUAAACACAUACAUUAUUCAGCAAAUCAAACAUUUUGACAUUACUGAUAGGGUUAGGGUUGCUAUUUACAAGAACACAAAGUACAAGUCAUGAUUGUUAAUUUCUACUUUGUACAAUGUAAUUCUAUCCACCAACUGUUUAACUAUCUUCUUGGCAAAUGUUCAAUGUAAGAAAAUGAGAAAAUGUGUCUAAAACCUGUAACCAUUACUGGAUUCUGUUUUGUUGUUGCUCUUUGAAUAUUUUGAGUUUAAACUUUUAAACUCCCAAGCGAUUCUUAGUGACAAACAUGUAAAAACAUGGAAGGUUUGAUCAAAACUAGAACCAGUCAGAUCAGUAUCAUUAUCAGUAUGAUUUUCAGAAUUAAUUGAACAUCAUACGAAUCAUAAUUAAACAUAUAUUUAAACACUAGUUAUAAACAACAGAGUGUUAAUGCUAUUAAACUCUAAGAACAUCAGGCUCAGGCACAUUUUUUUAAAAUUAGCAAAUUUUUAUCAGCGCAUUGAGCUCAUGUGAUCCCUGCUCCUGAAAGGUGAAGGUCUCCGGACAUCCUGAAGGUAAACACUGACUGGCAGUCAGGAAGAUGGACACUGAUUAGACAUCCUACAACUCAGACCACUGCAGGAAUAACCACACUAAUGGUCUGCGACCACAAUUUACCAACAUCUAAAACAUACUGGAAUAUGUUAUGAAUGUGCGGCGCCAACAUAGAACAAUGCACAAAUCACAAGCAGGCUAUAAAAAUAAAUCAGCUCUCUCUUCUUUUGUCUUGGAAAAAUAACUCAUGUACAGCCACGCAGUAAUGAAACAGUUGAACUCAAGCCCAUAGGCUGGAAGAUGAUGAUCCACUGUGAAGCAGGUUGUAUAUUACCCUGACUCAAAGCCUGGUACCUAGACAGGAAGCUUCAGCUUCAGAAUUGAUAUCUCUCUGAGAUUAGCAUUUGCUCAUGUAGACCAGCCUUUUCAGACCAGGCUUCAUGAGUAAAGUUUUAGAGGAGAUAAAAAAACCAUUGUUUUGAGGAGCUUAGUCCAAAAUGGAAUUACCCACUGUCAGGCAUAUUGGUAGUAACAUCAUGCUGACACUCUGUUUGGUCAUGCUGAUGUGUUGAUGACAGAGGAUGGAGAAUAGAAAAUCCUUAAAUGAUCAAUCUAUGCCUUAAAUAAUCAAUAAUCUACUAAAUAAUAAAACAAUUAGACAACUGAGUGUUCUCACAGGACAGUGAUUCCAACCCGUCAAUGAAAGUGGUUUCUGACUUGAGCCAGAUGUGUAA